GUGGUAAGUUCCAGUUAUUGUUUUAUGCCUGGGAUACACCACUGAACACAACAAUCCAAUGGCCCCACCCUUGUAGAAUGUGGAACAUACAUCACCACAGGGAGAGGCGAAGAGUAAACAGUCAACAAAACAUACAAGGAAAUUAUGUUUUAAAAGUAUGUUAGAAGUUGAAGAGUGCUAUAGAAAAAGGGAGGGGAGCCUAGAAAGGGGACUGCAGGAGCCAGGGUGAGAGGACAGGCAGCAGCUUUAACUAGGAUGCCAAGGUAAUCUCACUGAGACCGUGGAAUUCAAGAAAGUAAAUGAAGGAGGACAAACCAUAUGGAUAUUUUGGAGAAUAGUGUAGACAGAGCACCCAGUGCUCUCAGCAAGAAAGCUGGUGUGGCUAGAGAGAAAUGAAGAAGGAGAGCAGCAGGAGAGCCAGAGGGCUAAGAAGGAGUCUGGAUCAUGCAGCACCUGAUUAUAAUUUCCACAUGGUGAGGCACCCCUUCUGCCGUGUUUUGCCCUAUUCCCGGAGCCUAGGACACAGCCUUUAUGGAGUGUAGCCUGAUAAUGUAGUUACUGAAUGAAACAAAUCUUCCUGGCACACGUUCUUCACCCCUGAAAACAACAUGGAUGAUGAGUGCAGACUGCAAAACAGCUCACUGGCAAUUGCUCUCAAUUCACUCAAACCCUGCGAAGACUGAUGCCUUGUCAUGAAGACAUAAGAGAGAUAUAAAAGAGCGAAACACCACACAUGAAGCUAAGAACUGUUAGGGAGGAAGAAAAGACGGGAAGAGAGCAACAUACAUCAUCCUAUUACGGAGGCAAGGAAAGGGGAGAAGAGAUAAAGACCAGGAGGGAAACGCGGACGGGAGCUGAUGAGGCAUCACCAUGCAAGAACAUUGCUCCAGAUGGCCGAAGGGAAGGUGCUGGCAUCGCUGCACUCAGGAUUAUUAUCCUAUAACUAGCAAAGCAUAUUUACUAAGGAGAGGCUGGUUUUUCUUCCGUACUAAGAAGGAUAAUUUCAGCUAAUUAAUUUGUUCUGCUGAACUGACAGCCACCGAGGAUGUGUCUGCAUGCCUUAUAAGCAUAUUCUUGGUUCAUUUACUGAGAUCCCACAGAGAAGUUCAAUAUCUAGAGUUAAGCAAAUAAAAAAUAAGUUGUUCUUGUUUCAAGGACCAAGCUCGGGACAUGAAAAGCAUCAAAGUGCUCUAAGCAGGAGGACAAUGACAUGCAACAUCUGAGGCAUUGUUAAGGCCUGGCCUACUCAAUGCAUAUUGUCACACGCCAACCAUUUUCCAGAUACCUAGGUUCAUGCUAAAGGUACAGAUAUCAGCACAGCUCCACCCUGAAAUAAAUCACAGUAUAAUGAGGCAGACACACCCAGAAACAACUCUGACACAGGGCAAAAAGAAAUGAGUUGCUAAACACAAAAUUAAGCUACAUGACAUGGGAAUACAAGGAAGGAAUGCAAACAGGAGAAGGGUGUUCAACACUUUGUGUUUGUGCACAUCUUAUCACUGUGCUAUGCAAAUCUCUACAUUCAUACAGAGCUGCAUACAAACGAGGGUAGGUUGGUGAUAUGAUAAACAAAAUACCAUCCUAGAGAUUGAAAGUAUGGAACUUCCUACAAACAUUGGCCAAGUGGUAUGUGGUAAAUGAGGACAACACUGCAAAUAGCGCCACUGCCUGUGGCCACCCGAUGCAGUGCUCACCCAGGAGGGCUGCUCUGCUGGGGAGCUGCAGGAUGGCACCAAUAGCUCUGCUUCGAGCCCAGGUCAAUAAUAAGAAGAGGGGUUGCCAUUUCCAGCAAGAGGUUGCAAACAUCAUUUCUCUGGGCUCCAAUUGUCUGAUGGUGCCCUGUUCUACAGAAGGGUCAACUAUACAACAGACAGGUGUGUGUAAAGCUGGAUGCUUAAGAAAUGUGACAAGGUUAGAGGGAAAACAUGCUCCAAAGCAAAGUUUCAGUGUGGUAAUUGAAGAUGAACAUGGGGUCAUUUUAAAACCAUGUCUGAAUCCCAACAGAGCAUGUUCCGACAUGGUUCAGCUUGACUGCUUUAUGUAAACAUGAAAAUGCCAUCGCCUGGCAAAACAAACUUCUCCCAGGAGAGCCUGUUCUCUCAACACAACAAGAGGAAAGGGAUAGUGGAAGCAGGAGAGUUGAGACCAUGAAGUCAUGAAGUUCAAGAAUGCCUUCCUUUGAAGGUUUAAUACAGAAAAGCUUUCGGGGGAAGGAGGAGAGUUUAAAGAAGUCCUGGUUCUCCGGCAUCCACAGUAAUACCUUUGCCUUGAAGGAGAAAGAUGGCCUUGGCUAUCAAGAAUGGGGAGAAAAGGCAGAAGCUACCACCCAAAAUUUUCAGAGCACCAACCAAAUCAAAGGAAAUAAAUACUAAUGGGUGAAGUAGAGUUUAAAAAUAACACAAGUAAUGUACACUCUCCCCUUACUAUUGUUUUUAAUUUUUAAUUUUUUAAUUGACAGUUUGUACAUAUUUAUAGGAUACAAUUUGAUAUUUUGAUACAUAUGUAUGUUGUAAAAUGAUCAAAUCAGGGCACUUAGUGUGUCCAUGAUCUCAUGCAUUUAUCAUUUAUUUGUAGUGAGAAUAUUCCAAAGCCUCUUAUCUAGCUAUUUUGUAAGGUACACUAUCAUCUUACUGUCAACCACAGUCACUCCACUGUAUAACAGAACAUCAAAACAUAUUCCUCUUAUCUAAUUGUAACUUUGUAUUUGCUGUUGCUAGUUCUAUCAUUUUAACAGAGAGAGAAAUAAACUUCCAGCUACAACAAUCAUGGAAUCACAGCUCUAUGUCUCCCACCUAAAAAUAUUUCCUACACAAAAUGCAAGGUAGACGUAGGUUUCAAAACUUAUCUGCACUCUAUUUUAUGAUCUUUGUUUUCAUUUUCAUAUAUGUGAGCAUAUUUCUAUUAUGUUAUUAAAAUGUGGUAGUAAUUGCUGCAUGGUAUUUAUUCCAAACUCCAAAACCUUCAAAUCCUGUAUCACUGAACAAACUGUUUCAAAUUUCCCAUUAAUCUUAUGUUAAAAAUAAAC
rnacentral:lncRNA from 10 species